GUCCCUGUGGCUCAGUUGGUAGAGCAUGGUGUUUGCAACGCCAGCAUGGUGUGUCCAACGCCAGGGUUGUGGGUUCGAUUCCCACGGGGGGCC
rfam:Salmo salar isolate Sally breed double haploid chromosome ssa22, whole genome shotgun sequence.